GAAGUCGUCAAACCAGAUCAGAAUUCCUUUGAGGACCACCUUCAGGCAGGGACUGAGAAGGAUGUGGAGGUUUUUCACCAGAUGAGACUGAACAUCGACAAGGCCCAGGAAAACUGAAGGAGAGCUACCGGAGCAGAAUCAAGAAGGGGACCAAGUGCUACGAGAUCCUGGCAAAUGAAUUGGUUUGGAAGAAGGACAAAAGGAAGGGUUACAUCGGUGGAAGCCAACAAUUUUCUACAGUUGGAGCAGUUGGACGGUGGACCCCAAAAAGCACUGACGUCCCUCACUUCAGUGAAGCCCA